rnacentral:rRNA from 1 species
UACGAAGGGGGCUAGCGUUGUUCGGAAUUACUGGGCGUAAAGCGCGCGUAGGCGGUUUUACAAGCCAGAGGUGAAAAGCCUGAGCUUAACUUGGGAAUUGCCUUUGGAACUGUAUGGCUUUGAGGACGAGAGAGGUGAGUGGAAUUCCCAGUGUAGAGGUGAAAUUCGUAGAUAUUGGGAAGAACACCGGUGGCGAAGGCGGCUCACUGGCUCGUUUCUGACGCUGUAGAGCGAAAGCGUGGGGAUCAAACAUG